rnacentral:rRNA from 1 species
UACGAAGGGGGCUAGCGUUGCUCGGAAUUACUGGGCGUAAAGCGCACGUAGGCGGGUCAUUAAGUCGGGGGUGAAAUCCUGGAGCUCAACUCCAGAACUGCCUUCGAUACUGGAAGACUUGAGUCCGGGAGAGGUGAGUGGAACUGCGAGUGUAGAGGUGAAAUUCGUAGAUAUUCGCAAGAACACCAGUGGCGAAGGCGGCUCACUGGCCCGGUACUGACGCUGAGGUGCGAAAGCGUGGGGAGCAAACAGGG